rnacentral:sRNA from 1 species
UAACAAAAAAGAUGGGA